AUUGAACGCUGGCGGCACGCCUAACACAUGCAAGUCGAGCGGCAGCGAGACUAGUAGCAAUACUAGUUGUCGGCGAGCGGCGGACGGGUGAGUAACACGUAGGAAUCUGCCCUUAAGCGGGGGAUAACCAAGGGAAACUUUGGCUAAUACCGCAUAAUCUCGAGAGAGCAAAGCUGCCCGCAAGGGUGGCACUUGAGGAGGAGCCUGCGUCCGAUUAGCUAGUUGGUGGGGUAAUGGCCUACCAAGGCGAUGAGCGGUAACUGGUCUGAGAGGACGACCAGUCACACUGGGACUGAGACACGGCCCAUACUCCUACGGGAGGCAGCAGUAGUGAAUAUUGGACAAUGGGGGCAACCCUGAUCCAGCGAUGCCGCGUGAGUGAAGAAGGCCUUCGGGUCGUAAAGCUCUUUAGGUUGGGAAGAAGGGUAUUGGCUGAAUAAUCCAGUACUUUGACGGUACCGACAGAAUAAGCACCGGCAAACUCUGUGCCAGCAGCCGCCGCCGUAA
rnacentral:rRNA from 1 species